GAUUAUUUGGUUAUUAGAGUAUCGAAUGCAAUAAAUAUUUCAUUCAAAUUGUGAUAUUUUUAAAAUCCAUUUAUGAUAUGCUCUAGUUCUACCAUUUUCCAUAGUGCGCCGCGCCGAUUCGGGAAAUAACGCUAACGG